rnacentral:tRNA from 1 species
GAUAAUGAGCUUGAUUAAAAGUUUAUAUUUUGAAAAUAUAAGAUAGAAUUAAAAAAUAAUUUUAUUAUCU